GUAUACAUUCAACAUGUCCAAGAAGAUCAUUGAGAUAUGGGCAGGAAAAAUGUCCCUAAAGAAGAUGCAACACUUGUAUUUGUCUGCAAUUAGAAGGAAUUCAUUAACAACAUAAAGUAGCAGAACAUAAAAACAAAAGACCUGACAUUCAUUAUAAUCAUAGUUACACAUCGAAACAUGGAAAACCAAUAAAACAAGUAAGAGGCGUGAAUGAAUAAAGGCAACUUUCCUUUUAACAAUGGGUAUACCAAGGUUGCACAGGCGCUGCAUUAUUCACAAGCGGCUGCAUGCCUGAUUGUACUUGUUGAGGCGUUCCAGGAGUGGGACAAAGGCACAUUAGCAGCAGCUGCAUUAUUCACAAGCGGCUGCAUGCCUGAUUGUACUUGUUGAGGCGUUCCAGGAGUGGCAAUCAUUGCCCAAGUUCCAGAAGAGACAACAUUAAUUAAAAGUGGCACUAAACCAGGACAAUACAUAUUAUAAAAUAUCAACANNNN
rnacentral:lncRNA from 1 species